rnacentral:rRNA from 1 species
GACGAACGCUGGCGGCGUGCUUAACACAUGCAAGUCGAACGGAAAGGCCCUGCUUGCAGGGUGCUCGAGUGGCGAACGGGUGAGUAACACGUGGGUGAUCUGCCCCUUACUUUGGGAUAAGCCUGGGAAACUGGGUCUAAUACUGGAUAGGACCAUGCUGUAGGUGGUGUGGUGGAAAGAUUAGUUUCGGUAAGGGAUGAGCUCGCGGCCUAUCAGCUUGUUGGUGGGGUAAUGGCCUACCAAGGCGUCGACGGGUAGCCGGCCUGAGAGGGUGGACGGCGACAUUGGGACGAAGGUGCGGCCCAGACUCCUACGGGGGGCAGCAGUGGGGAAGAUUGCACAAUGGGCGCAAGCCUGAUGCAGCGACGCCGCGGGGGGGAUGACGGCCGUCGGGUUGUAAACUCCUUUCAGCCAUGACGAAGCCCUUGUGGUGACGGUAGUGGUAGAAGAAGCACCGGCUAACUACGUG